GGGAUAGUGGUGGAAUUGGUAGACACAUGUGCCUUAGAAGCACACGCAGAAAUGCUUGUAGGUUCAAAUCCUAUCUAUCCCACCA
rnacentral:tRNA from 1 species